GAUGGCGAUGCGUCCCAUUAGUUAGUUGGCGGGGUAACGGCCCACCAAGACAUCGAUGGGUAGGGGUUCUGAGAGGAAGGUCCCCCACAUUGGAACUGAGACACGGUCCAAACUCCUACGGGAGGCAGCAGUGAGGAAUAUUGGUCAAUGGACGAGAGUCUGAACCAGCCAAGUAGCGUGCAGGAUGACGGCCCUCCGGGUUGUAAACUGCUUUUAGUUGGGAAUAAAGUUCGGGACGUGUCCCGAUUUGUAUGUACCAUCAGAAAAAGGACCGGCUAAUUCCGUGCCAGCAGCCGCGGUAAUACGGAAGGUCCGGGCGUUAUCCGGAUUUAUUGGGUUUAAAGGGAGCGCAGGCGGGCUUUUAAGUCAGUUGUGAAAUACGGCGGCUCAACCGUCGGACUGCAGUUGAAACUGGAAGUCUUGAGUUCACACAGGGAUGCCGGAAUUCAUGGUGUAGCGGUGAAAUGCUCAGAUAUCAUGAAGAACUCCGAUCGCGAAGGCAGGCAUCCGGGGUGUUACUGACGCUGAGGCUCGAAAGUGCGGGUAUCAAACAGGAUUAGAUACCCUGGUAGUCCGCACAGUAAACGAUGAACACUCGCAGUUGGCGAUACAGUGUCAGCUGCUUAGCGAAAGCGUUAAGUGUUCCACCUGGGGAGUACGCCCGGCAACGGUGAAACUCAAAGGAAUUGACGGGGG
rnacentral:rRNA from 1 species